rnacentral:rRNA from 1 species
GACGAACGCUGGCGGCGUGCUUAACACAUGCAAGUCGAACGGAAAGGCCCUGCUUUUGUGGGGUGUUCGAGUGGCGAACGGGUGAGUAACACGUGAGUAACCUGCCCUUGACUUUGGGAUAACUUCAGGAAACUGGGGCUAAUACCGGAUAGGAGCUCCUGCUGCAUGGUGGGGGUUGGAAAGUUUCGGCGGAUGGGGAUGGACUCGCGGCUUAUCAGCUUGUUGGUGGGGUAGUGGCUUACCAAGGCUUUGACGGGUAGCCGGCCUGAGAGGGUGACCGGCCACAUUGGGACUGAGAUACGGCCCAGACUCCUACGGGAGGCAGCAGUGGGGAAUAUUGCACAAUGGGCGGAAGCCUGAUGCAGCAACGCCGCGUGCGGGAUGACGGCCUUCGGGUUGUAAACCGCUUUCGCCUAUGAUGAAGCGUGAGUGACGGUAAUGGGUAAAGAAGCACCGGCUAACUACGUG